rnacentral:rRNA from 1 species
UACGAAGGGAGCUAGCGUUGUUCGGAAUCACUGGGCGUAAAGCGCACGUAGGCGGAUGUGUCAGUCAGGGGUGAAAUCCCGGAGCUCAACUUCGGAACUGCCUUUGAUACAGCACAUCUGGAGUCCGGAAGAGGUGGGUGGAAUUCCUAGUGUAGAGGUGAAAUUCGUAGAUAUUAGGAAGAACACCGGUGGCGAAGGCGGCUAACUGGUCCAGAUCUGACGCUGAGGUGCGAAAGCGUGGGGAGCAAACAGG